ensembl:snoRNA small nucleolar RNA SNORD60
AGCCCAUGACGACAAACUGAAUAAACUUUUCUGACACCUACUAUGAGAGCUGAACUUCAGCUCCUGAUUCUAACUUUAUUCUGAGGCUC